rnacentral:rRNA from 1 species
UGGGGAAUAUUGCACAAUGGGCGCAAGCCUGAUGCAGCCAUGCCGCGUGUAUGAAGAAGGCCUUCGGGUUGUAAAGUACUUUCAGCGGGGAGGAAGGGAGUAAAGUUAAUACCUUUGCUCAUUGACGUUACCCGCAGAAGAAGCACCGGCUAACUCCGUGCCAGCAGCCGCGGUAAUACGGAGGGUGCAAGCGUUAAUCGGAAUUACUGGGCGUAAAGCGCACGCAGGCGGUCUGUCAAGUCGGAUGUGAAAUCCCCGGGCUCAACCUGGGAACUGCAUUCGAAACUGGCAGGCUAGAGUCUUGUAGAGGGGGGUAGAAUUCCAGGUGUAGCGGUGAAAUGCGUAGAGAUAUGGAGGAAUACCGGUGGCGAAGGCGGCCCCCUGGACAAAGACUGACGCUCAGGUGCGAAAGCGUGGGGAGCAAACAGG